GUGGGGAAUCUUGCACAAUGGGCGAAAGCCUGAUGCAGCCAUGCCGCGUGAAUGAUGAAGGCCUUAGGGUUGUAAAAUUCUUUCGUCAGGGAUGAUAAUGACCGUACCUGAAGAAGAAGCCCCGGCUAACUUCGUGCCAGCAGCCGCGGUAAUACGAAGGGGGCGAGCGUUAUUCGGAAUCACUGGGCGUAAAGCGUGCGUAGGCUGUUUUGUAAGUCAGAAGUGAAAGCCCAGGGCUUAACCCUGGAAUUGCUUUUGAAACUACAAGACUCGAAUUCGGGAGAGGAUAGCGGAAUUGUCAGUGUAGCAGUGAAAUGCGUAGAUAUUGACAGGAACACCAGUGGCGCAAGCGGCUAUCUGGACCGAUAUUGACGCUGAGGCACGAAAGCGUGGGGAGCAAACAGGAUUAGAAACCCGGGUAGUCC
rnacentral:rRNA from 1 species